GAUGAACGCUAGCUACAGGCUUAACACAUGCAAGUCGAGGGGCAGCAUGGUCUUAGCUUGCUAAGGCCGAUGGCGACCGGCGCACGGGUGAGUAACACGUAUCCAACUUGCCGUCUACUCUUGGACAGCCUUCUGAAAGGAAGAUUAAUACAAGAUGGCAUCAUGAGUCCGCAUGUUCACAUGAUUCAAGGUAUUCCGGUAGACGCUGGGGAUGCGUUCCAUUAGAUAGUAGGCGGGGUAACGGCCCACCUAGUCUUCGAUGGAUAGGGGUUCUGAGAGGAAGGUCCGCACAGUGGAACUGAGACACGGUCCAAACUCCUACGGGAGGCAGCAGUGAGGAAUAUUGGUCAAUGGGCGCAGGCCUGAACCAGCCAAGUAGCGGGAAGGAUGACUGGCCUAUGAGUUGUAAACUUCUUUUAUAAAGGAAUAAAGUCGGGUAUGUAUACCCGUUUGCAUGUACUUGAUGAAUAAGGAUCGGCUAACUCCGU
rnacentral:rRNA from 1 species